rnacentral:rRNA from 1 species
CAGCCGCCGCGGGAAUACGGAGGAUCCGAGCGUUAUCCGGAAUUAUUGGGUUUAAAGGGUGCGUAGGCGGAUAGAUAAGUCAGUGGUGAAAGACGGUGGCUCAACCAUCGCAGUGCCGUUGAUACUGUUUAUCUUGAAUAUGGAUGAGGUAGGCGGAAUGUGGCAAGUAGCGGUGAAAUGCAUAAAUAUGCCACAGAACACCGAUUGCGAAGGCAGCUUACCAAGGCAAAAUUGACGCUGAGGCACGAAAGCGUGGGGAUCGAACAGGAUUAGAUACCCGGGUAGUCCCUGUCUCUUAUAC